UACGUAGGGGGCAAGCGUUGUCCGGAUUUAUUGGGCGUAAAGAGCGUGUAGGCGGCCAGACAGGUCCGUUGUGAAAACUCGAGGCUCAACCUCGAGACGCCGAUGGAAACCGUUUGGCUAGAGUCCGGAAGAGGAGAGUGGAAUUCCUGGUGUAGCGGUGAAAUGCGCAGAUAUCAGGAAGAACACCCGUGGCUAAGGCGGCUCUCUAGUACGGUACUGACGCAGAGACGCGAAAGCGUGGGGAGCGAACAGG
rnacentral:rRNA from 1 species